GGUUAAGCGACUAAGCGUACACGGUGGAUGCCCUGGCAGUCAGAGGCGAUGAAGGACGUGCUAAUCUGCGAUAAGCGUCGGUAAGGUGAUAUGAACCGUUAUAACCGGCGAUUUCCGAAUGGGGAAACCCAGUGUGUUUCGACACACUAUCAUUAACUGAAUCCAUAGGUUAAUGAGGCGAACCGGGGGAACUGAAACAUCUAAGUACCCCGAGGAAAAGAAAUCAACCGAGAUUCCCCCAGUAGCGGCGAGCGAACGGGGAGCAGCCCAGAGCCUGAAUCAGUGUGUGUGUUAGUGGAAGCGUCUGGAAAGGCGCGCGAUACAGGGUGACAGCCCCGUACACAAAAAUGCACAUGCUGUGAGCUCGAUGAGUAGGGCGGGACACGUGGUAUCCUGUCUGAAUAUGGGGGGACCAUCCUCCAAGGCUAAAUACUCCUGACUGACCGAUAGUGAACCAGUACCGUGAGGGAAAGGCGAAAAGAACCCCGGCGAGGGGAGUGAAAAAGAACCUGAAACCGUGUACGUACAAGCAGUGGGAGCCUCUUUUAUGGGGUGACUGCGUACCUUUUGUAUAAUGGGUCAGCGACUUAUAUUCUGUAGCAAGGUUAACCGAAUAGGGGAGCCGAAGGGAAACCGAGUCUUAACUGGGCGUUAAGUUGCAGGGUAUAGACCCGAAACCCGGUGAUCUAGCCAUGGGCAGGUUGAAGGUUGGGUAACACUAACUGGAGGACCGAACCGACUAAUGUUGAAAAAUUAGCGGAUGACUUGUGGCUGGGGGUGAAAGGCCAAUCAAACCGGGAGAUAGCUGGUUCUCCCCGAAAGCUAUUUAGGUAGCGCCUCGUGAAUUCAUCUCCGGGGGUAGAGCACUGUUUCGGCAAGGGGGUCAUCCCGACUUACCAACCCGAUGCAAACUGCGAAUACCGGAGAAUGUUAUCACGGGAGACACACGGCGGGUGCUAACGUCCGUCGUGAAGAGGGAAACAACCCAGACCGCCAGCUAAGGUCCCAAAGUCAUGGUUAAGUGGGAAACGAUGUGGGAAGGCCCAGACAGCCAGGAUGUUGGCUUAGAAGCAGCCAUCAUUUAAAGAAAGCGUAAUAGCUCACUGGUCGAGUCGGCCUGCGCGGAAGAUGUAACGGGGCUAAACCAUGCACCGAAGCUGCGGCAGCGACGCUUAUGCGUUGUUGGGUAGGGGAGCGUUCUGUAAGCCUGUGAAGGUGUGCUGUGAGGCAUGCUGGAGGUAUCAGAAGUGCGAAUGCUGACAUAAGUAACGAUAAAGCGGGUGAAAAGCCCGCUCGCCGGAAGACCAAGGGUUCCUGUCCAACGUUAAUCGGGGCAGGGUGAGUCGACCCCUAAGGCGAGGCCGAAAGGCGUAGUCGAUGGGAAACAGGUUAAUAUUCCUGUACUUGGUGUUACUGCGAAGGGGGGACGGAGAAGGCUAUGUUGGCCGGGCGACGGUUGUCCCGGUUUAAGCGUGUAGGCUGGUUUUCCAGGCAAAUCCGGAAAAUCAAGGCUGAGGCGUGAUGACGAGGCACUACGGUGCUGAAGCAACAAAUGCCCUGCUUCCAGGAAAAGCCUCUAAGCAUCAGGUAACAUCAAAUCGUACCCCAAACCGACACAGGUGGUCAGGUAGAGAAUACCAAGGCGCUUGAGAGAACUCGGGUGAAGGAACUAGGCAAAAUGGUGCCGUAACUUCGGGAGAAGGCACGCUGAUAUGUAGGUGAGGUCCCUCGCGGAUGGAGCUGAAAUCAGUCGAAGAUACCAGCUGGCUGCAACUGUUUAUUAAAAACACAGCACUGUGCAAACACGAAAGUGGACGUAUACGGUGUGACGCCUGCCCGGUGCCGGAAGGUUAAUUGAUGGGGUUAGCGGUAACGCGAAGCUCUUGAUCGAAGCCCCGGUAAACGGCGGCCGUAACUAUAACGGUCCUAAGGUAGCGAAAUUCCUUGUCGGGUAAGUUCCGACCUGCACGAAUGGCGUAAUGAUGGCCAGGCUGUCUCCACCCGAGACUCAGUGAAAUUGAACUCGCUGUGAAGAUGCAGUGUACCCGCGGCAAGACGGAAAGACCCCGUGAACCUUUACUAUAGCUUGACACUGAACAUUGAGCCUUGAUGUGUAGGAUAGGUGGGAGGCUUUGAAGUGUGGACGCCAGUCUGCAUGGAGCCGGCCUUGAAAUACCACCCUUUAAUGUUUGAUGUUCUAACGUUGGCCCCUGAUCGGGGUUGCGGACAGUGUCUGGUGGGUAGUUUGACUGGGGCGGUCUCCUCCUAAAGAGUAACGGAGGAGCACGAAGGUUGGCUAAUCCUGGUCGGACAUCAGGAGGUUAGUGCAAUGGCAUAAGCCAGCUUGACUGCGAGCGUGACGGCGCGAGCAGGUGCGAAAGCAGGUCAUAGUGAUCCGGUGGUUCUGAAUGGAAGGGCCAUCGCUCAACGGAUAAAAGGUACUCCGGGGAUAACAGGCUGAUACCGCCCAAGAGUUCAUAUCGACGGCGGUGUUUGGCACCUCGAUGUCGGCUCAUCACAUCCUGGGGCUGAAGUAGGUCCCAAGGGUAUGGCUGUUCGCCAUUUAAAGUGGUACGCGAGCUGGGUUUAGAACGUCGUGAGACAGUUCGGUCCCUAUCUGCCGUGGGCGCUGGAGAACUGAGGGGGGCUGCUCCUAGUACGAGAGGACCGGAGUGGACGCAUCACUGGUGUUCGGGUUGUCAUGCCAAUGGCACUGCCCGGUAGCUAAAUGCGGAAGAGAUAAGUGCUGAAAGCAUCUAAGCACGAAACUUGCC
rnacentral:rRNA from 1 species